UGUUUUUUGUUUUAUUCAACGCCUGUGCGUAUGAAAACAGACGGUCAGUCAGAGGUCGGAGGAGUAGGGCGUUCACUCGCGGAUUCUUUCACUCAUCAGACACCGCAGCUGAUAGGAGAUACAAAGACAAUGAGCACAAUGUGCCUUCCACCUGCCGCUUCAACGCCUCCUCCAACGUUUGCUCUCAUUAUCAUCGUUAAGGAAAUCGUCAGGAAGGACAUCACAAAUGAAGCGUUGGUGUCUGAAAUCGUGAGACUCCUUAAUCUACAAGGACCUGGUGGUAACAGACGUCGUGGACGGACCUGACUGAAGUUCAACCACAGUAAGGUCCAUUUGGAGCCUGAUUAUUUAAAAGCACAGAGGGUGAUUGUGUUCUGAGGUUGCUGUUUUGUUUAUUAAUUAUUUUAAAUUAUUAGUUUAUUGUUAUUAUUAUUAAAUUAUGGCAGACCAUGAUGGUUUUCCUUCUGGUUCUGACACUGAAUCCACCCACAACCAGGACACUACACCACACCUCAUUGAUCAGAGUGCUUCACCGACACGUAAGUUUCUGUCUGGCUUGUUUGACGGCAUGUCUGAGGAGGAUGUAGAGCUGGUCUAUGAUCCGAGUAUAAAUGAAAACAGCGCCACCUCGAGGUGGCGCUAAACGCAAACUCGAGAAGACACUGGAUGCCGAAAUUAUUGGUAAAAAAAGACGACAUCUCUACGUAGUUGGUGGUGAUGGAACUGAUCAGCUUUGCUUCGCAAUCAGCCUUUCUUGUCUCCUUAAUCCGAACCGUACGUAUCAAGAUUGUGUUGAGUUGG